CCCUUAGUAACGGCGAGCGAAAAGGGAAGAGUCCAGCGCCAAGUCUUGACGCCCACGCGUUCAAGAGAUGCGGCGUUAAUGUAUUAUCGCAUCGUACAUUGUUGACUGUUUCAAGUUCCCUUGACAGGGACAUCCAUAGCGGGUGCUAGGCCCAUAGAGGCAGACAACCAGUGUGCGCAGAUAAUGCAUUCUAGAGUCAGGUUGCUUGAGAGUGCAGCUUAAAGUGGGUGGUAAACUCCAUCUAAGGCUAAAUAUGACAGCGAGACCGAUAGCAAACAAGUACCGUGAGGGAAAGUUGCAAAGCACUUUGAAGAGAGAGUUCAACAGUACGUGAAACCACUGGGAGGCAAACAGAUGGAACCACGAAGUUGCGCCUUGUUCGAUUCAAUCAUUGUUGCCAGUUACCGGUUUUUGUGUGGAUCUUUUCGGAGAUUAGCAAGUGUCGUGGAACUGGUUUCAAUGGUGCAUUUCGAGUAAGGAUGCUAAGCCACGUUCGAUUAGAGUUGGGACGGCCGUAGGACAGAAUUCGAGGAAGGUGACCGGAAAGUGCUUGCAUUUUUCGGUGUUAUAGCCUUGAAUUGGUACCGUCGCCUAACAAACUGAUCGAUAGAAAUUCUCCUUAGGAGUUAAACUGUGUCUGCCUGUGGCCGGUAGUCAAUGUUUCGAAGUGUUCUUUACGUAUCUUUGGUGCGGAAAGGCAUUUCAACGAUGUUGGCUAUUGGUUGCUUGCGUGACAUGGUGGAACUGUGGCGCGAGUAGGUCGGUUUCCCUCUGACCC
rnacentral:rRNA from 1 species